rnacentral:rRNA from 1 species
CAGCAGCCGCGGUAAUACGUAGGUGGCAAGCGUUGUCCGGAGUUAUUGGGCGUAAAGGGCUCGCAGGCGGUUUCUUAAGUCUGAUGUGAAAGCCCCCGGCUCAACCGGGGAGGGUCAUUGGAAACUGGGAAACUUGAGUGCAGAAGAGGAGAGUGGAAUUCCACGUGUAGCGGUGAAAUGCGUAGAGAUGUGGAGGAACACCAGUGGCGAAGGCGACUCUCUGGUCUGUAACUGACGCUGAGGAGCGAAAGCGUGGGGAGCGAACAGGAUUAGAUACCCCAGUAGCCUGUCUCUUAUACAC